UUAUCCGGAUUAUUGGGUUUAAAGGGUGCGUAGGCGGCAAGGUAAGUCAGCGGUGAAAGACCAGGGCUCAACUUUGGAAGUGCCGUUGAUACUGUCUGGCUAGAAUGAUUCCGCCGUGGGAGGAAUGAGUAGUGUAGCGGUGAAAUGCAUAGAUAUUACUCAGAACACCGAUUGCGAAGGCAUCUCACGAGGGGUUCAUUGACGCUGAGGCACGAAAGCGUGGGGAUCGAACAGGAUUAGAUACCCUGGUAGUCCACGCAGUAAACGAUGAUGGCUAACUGUCGGGCCUUCGGGUUCGGCGGCCAAGCGAAAGCGAUAAGCCAUCCACCUGGGGAGUACGACCGCAAGGUUGAAACUCAAAGGAAUUGACGGGGGCCCGCACAAGCGGAGGAACAUGUGGUUUAAUUCGAUGAUACGCGAGGAA
rnacentral:rRNA from 1 species